CCUACGGGGGGCUGCAGUGGGGAAUAUUGGACAAUGGGAGGAACCCUGAUCCAGCCAUGCCGCGUGUGUGAAGAAGGCCCUCGGGUUGUAAAGCACUUUCAGUGAGGAAGAACGCCUGGUGGUUAAUACCCAUCAGGAAAGACAUCACUCACAGAAGAAGCACCGGCUAACUCCGUGCCAGCAGCCGCGGUAAUACGGAGGGUGCGAGCGUUAAUCGGAAUUACUGGGCGUAAAGCGCGCGUAGGUGGCUUGAUAAGCCGGUUGUGAAAGCCCCGGGCUCAACCUGGGAACGGCAUCCGGAACUGUCAAGCUAGAGUGCAGGAGAGGAAGGUAGAAUUCCCGGUGUAGCGGUGAAAUGCGUAGAGAUCGGGAGGAAUACCAGUGGCGAAGGCGGCCUUCUGGACUGACACUGACACUGAGGUGCGAAAGCGUGGGUAGCAAACAGGAUUAGAUACCCGUGUAGUC
rnacentral:rRNA from 1 species